rnacentral:rRNA from 1 species
UAGGCGGACGGGUGAGUAAUGUCUGGGAAACUGCCUGAUGGAGGGGGAUAACUACUGGAACGGUAGCUAAUACCGCAUAACGUCGCAAGACCAAAGAGGGGGACCUUAGGGCCUCUUGCCAUCGGAUGUGCCCAGAUGGGAUUAGCUAGUAGGUGGGGUAAAGGCUCACCUAGGCGACGAUCCCUAGCUGGUCUGAGAGGAUGACCAGCCACACUGGAACUGAGACACGGUCCAG